rnacentral:rRNA from 1 species
GAUGAACGCUGGCGGCGUGCCUAAUACAUGCAAGUCGAGCGAACGGACGAGAAGCUUGCUUCUCUGACGUUAGCGGCGGACGGGUGAGUAACACGUGGAUAACCUACCUAUAAGACUGGGAUAACUUCGGGAAACCGGAGCUAAUCGCGGAGGAUAUUUUGAACCGCGUGGUUCAAAAGUGAAAGACGGCCUUGCGGGAACUAAUAGAUGGAUACGCGCUGCAUUAGCUAGUUGGUAAGGUAACGGCUUACGAAGGCAACGAGGCAUGACCGACCUAAUAGGGUGGUCGCCCGCACUGGAGCUUGGACACGGUCCAGACUCCUACGGUAGGCCGCAGUCGCGAAUCUUCCGCAGUGGGCGGAAGCCUUACGGAGCAACGCCGCGUGAGUGAUGAAGGUCUUCGGAUCGUAAAACUCUGUUAUUAGGGAAGAACAUAUUUGUAAGGAACUGUGCACAUCUUGACGGUACCUAAUCAGAAAGCCCCGGCUAACUACGUG